ensembl:lncRNA
GUCAUUUUUGUUUGUUGCAAGGUGUAUUAUAAUUCCCAUUGCUGUAAUGCAUUAUCUUUUUUAUAAUGCACUGCAAUCUCUGUUACGGUGCAUUAUAAUGUGAUUUUUAAAUAUUCUAUUAUUCUAGAACGUUUUUGUGUUCUUGAUUUAAUGAUUUAUUUUUACUUAAAGCAAAUAAUGGCCACUUACAGUGCAUUAUUACUCAAUUAUAAGUCAAUUAAAAUACACUAUGAUCUUUGCAACAACAAAUAAUGUUCAGUGAGUGACCAUCAAUUAUGAAGCAUUAUGAUAAUUGACCUCAUAAAUGUGUUAUGGUUAUUUGAAUGAGUGCUAUAAGUUAGCAAUAAAAGCGUGAUCUUUUUUAUUCAUGGUAAAGGACGUUGACGAUGUCAUGUACAAACAGUCCCAUUCCAAAAUAAACAAACGUACUUAAAGAGAAAAUAAAACAUGAAGCAUCUUUGUUGUCCACAUUGAAUCACAUUCCCAAAUGAUUACCGUACCAGUAAUUUCUGCUGAUGGCUGUGUCUCUUUAGUACGGUUCGGACCUCUGUUCAAAGACGGGCGACUCAGAAGAAGCUGCAGAUCACAAACCCUCCAGAGGGGGAGCUGUGCCUGACGGCCGGAACAUUUCGACACACAACCACAAUACCAGCAAACAGCUGACAGACGAGAGGUCCAAGGACGCCACCCUGCACCGUAAGACAAACGCCACAACCAACUUUCCGAAGCACCACGACGCGUUCAAGGCCCCGGAAGCCCCGUACAGAAGAACCCCUGCGGAUGCUCACCAGCCUCAACCUCACCCUUCCCCGUCCUCAUCCAGACGCUUGCAGCCCAUGGCUUUGCCUCUUCCUCCUCAGAGUGGCUUCAAGACCCUCGACAAGAGACCUGCUCUGGGCGGGGAGUUCAUGAUGCCGCCUAAUCUGCUGACUGAACUUAGCUCGGUGCUAAGCAAGACUAGUCGUGGUGCCAAGAGCAACGACUGACAGGAUGUCAGGAGGAGGAGAGGUACACAGAAGGGUCAGUUUGAACGGUAAGACACAACAUUACACGGCCGAGUAUACAAAGAAAGACGUGGCAGAACAAGACCACACGAUGCUGAUGGAGCCAAAGAAAGUUGCUUCGUGAGGGGAGGGGGAAGGGGGGGACGUUAUAGCCUGAAGACGGCGGUGCACAAGGGUAUGUGGAAAGCAGGUGCGCAAGACAUUGGAGGUCAUGCAGACCUCAGCUGGACACAGCGCUGACCCAAGCACUACAAAGCCUGAUUCAUACGCCGCUCUGCUCCAAAAAUGUGUCCGGACGUCAAACCCACAGAAGUUUCCCGAAAUGCUCCCAAAGGAUUCGCUUCGUGACUUCACGUUCACUUUGAAAAUGCUGUUUUGACUACAUCUGACAAGUAUUAUGAUUAUUUGAAUCCUUACACGGUGAGCUUUUAAAGGUAUCUUUAGGUCAUUUUUUUCCACUGUAAUGUAAUGGAGUUGCACAUAUUAAAUAGCAUUUCCUAUAUUUUGAAUUAAUAGUGGCGGGGUCUGCCACCAACGCACGGAAUUAUAAAAACCUUAGUUUGUACUGGAAUGCAACGAAAAUGAGACGAUGCAAAGUUAGCUAACAGUGGAGGGCAAUCUCACAAGUUACUAUUUAUUUCUGAGUAUUUUUAAAUAUGUUUUUAUAACAGCUACGUUACCCACAAUGUUUUGUUGUAUAGCUAACUAGCGAUUUAUUUUCUUUUUUUAAGCAUAUUAUUCUGUACUUCCACCUACUGUAAAUGUACACUAUAAAUAUACUAAUAAACAUUGCAAAAUGCUUUAACUUGCUAUAUUACUAAUAUUUUAAGUUUUACCUUCAUGUUCAGGGUUUUCGUACAAUAACAAAAAUAAUGCAAGCUAAACGUUAGCCAAAGUUAGCUAACACCCCUCCAUGUUUUUGUUUUUUUAUCAAGCACAGUCAAAGUUGCACUACUUAAGUUGAACCCUCCACAGAAACAUCGUCAAAUAAUAACACCAUCUUAUUUAGUAAUGCCACGCUCCAUCAGAAUCCAUCCAUCCUGAACACAAACAGGAUUUUUAAAGUUCAGGUGUGAAGUCAACAGAUUACGAUCUAAAGAUAUAUAUAUAUAUAUAUAUAACUUUCUAUUUGACGGUCUCUGUUUAUACUUAGUGGGCACACAAAAAACAUUGAUGAAAUGAGGAGCUGUGCUCAGGUCUGUCAGUGUAAAUAAAACAUUUCCUUUCCUGCGUUUCCACAGAAAUGCAGAUGCUGGGAACAAUAGAGAUGGUGGAGGUAUCGGUGUGUGUGUGUGUGUGUGUGUGUGUGUGUGUGUGUGUGUGUGAGUGUGACCGAAAGAGAGAUACACACAGGAAAUUGUUUUUUCGAGAAAUUGCCAGUUUUAUACUUCUUCACAGCAACAAAACUAGAAAUAUACCCUGAUCCAUCAGAUAAUUACAGUUAGGUAAAAAUAAAAUACCGCAUGUAGGGAAGCCAUUAAAAUAAUAAGAGAAUGAAAGCAUCAGUGUUAAAUGAUAAUUACCGACAUUGCUUCCAGGUUUAUUAUCCAUCGUGAUUGGAUUUCUUUUUUUGUUCUGUUCAAUUGCUAAGAAGUCUUUAUCUGUGUUUUUAUUUCUAUUUUAAUAUUGCAUCUGUUCUCUGCUUUAUAGAAUGCAGUCAUUUGGGCCCUUUUCACCAGGUAAAUGUGCUC